GCCAAAGUCCUGAAGAUCUCAGGGCUUGAAGGAGGGGGCAUCUUUUUUCUCCAUUGUAGUAGUGUGUCUUGCUAAAUAACAGAAGGGACUCCUGAAAAGAAAAUGACGUUGGCCGGGCGCGGUGGCUCACGCCUGCAGUCCCAGCACUUUGGGAGGCCGAGACGGGCGGAUCACGAGGUCAGGAGAUCGAGACUAUCCUGGUUUACGCGGUGACACCCUGUGUCUACUAAAAAUACAAAAAAAAAAAAAAAAAAAAAAAUUGCCGGGCGUGGUGGCACGCGCCUGUAGUUCCAGGUGCUCGGGAGGCUGAGGCAGGAGAAUCGCUUGAACCCGGGAGGCGGAGCUUGCAGUGAGCCGAGACCGCGCCACUGCACUCCAGCUUGGGUGACAGAGUGAGACUCAGUCUCAGAAAAAGAAGAAGAAGAAAAAGAUACACACUCGAGCACACAUUUUCUCAGCAAAGCAAUUUACUUCUAUAGAAGGGUGCGUCUCACGGAUGGAGCAAUGGCGAGAGCACACCUGAACAAGGGAGGGGAAGGGGUUCUUAUCCCUGACGCAGGUAGUCCCUAGUGCUGUGUCGUUCCCCUACUGGCUAGGGUUGGACCGCACAGUCUAAGUUAAUUCCGAUUGGCUAUUUUAAAGAGAGCAGGGGUAUGAGCCGGAGUGGUAGGGUGAGCAGUUUCAGUGGGAAGGACGGUUACGGAACAGGUGACUAAAGGUGACUCAGGUCAGAGCAGGUGACCAGGGGUGACUCAGGACGGAGCAGGUCACCAGGGGAACAGAUGUGAACUACUGAUUAGAACUGGUGGAAAAGGUUGUUUACUGAAACUAGAGGCAAGGAGACGAGGAAAAUGAGGAAGUUAAAGUUUA
rnacentral:lncRNA from 1 species